ACCAGUGUAUGGUGCCCCAUGAUUGCCUUAAUAUACACAGCUAUGAUUUAAUAAAAAAUAAAACAGGUGGCAGCAGCCGGUGCUGUCUGGCCAGGCACCGGCUGCUUCUGACCAGAGAGAAGCUCUUGCUCACCUCAGCCUGGGCUGCAGCAGGCCACCACUACUGGACCGGGCAGGGCGGGCACCAUGUUGCAUUCGUCUUUGUACCCUCAGCAUCUAGCAGUGUUGGCAUGUAGUAGGCACUCAAGAAAUGUGUGUUGAAUGAACGAUGCCUGUGACAAGCAGCUGGACUUUAUUCUUUCCUGACCCUUGCUCCUAUGACACACCUCCUCCUGACUGCCACUGUCACCCCUUCAGAGCAGAACUUCUCUAGUGAACUCAAGGGAAACAGCUAUGGCCAAGGACAUCCUGGGUGAAGCAGGGCUGCAUUUUGAUGAGCUGAACAAGCUUCGGGUAUUGGAUCCAGAGGUUACCCAGCAGACGAUAGAGCUCAAGGAAGAGUGCAAGGACUUUGUGGACAAAAUUGGCCAGUUUCAGAAAAUAGUCGGCGGUUUAAUUGAGCUUGUUGACCAACUUGCAAAAGCAGCAGAAAACGAGAAGAUGAAGGCCAUUGGUGCUCAGAACCUGCUCAAAUCUAUAGCGAAGCAGAGAGAAGCCCAACAACAGCAACUUGAAGCACUAAUAGCAGAAAAGAAGAUGCAGCUGGAAAGGUAUCAGGUUGAAUGUGAAGCUUUGUAAAGUAGAAGCAGAACAAAAUGAAUUUAUUGACCAAUUUAUUUUUCAGAAAUGAACUGAAAAUUUCACUUUUAUAGUAGGAAGGCAAAAAAGGCCCAAACCAAAAAACCUCUGUACCAUUGCAGCGACUUGACUAACAAUCUAAGUACGUCAGUGUGUGAGGAGCGCAGUCCUCUGAAGGCAGCGCUGCAAGGCGGGGGGCUCACUGUACGCGUCAGUGCACAGCUGCCGCCAGUGGCCACAUAGAAGGGUCUUACUUCUUGCAUUCUUAGUCUGAA